CGCUUAGGCGCCGUGUUUCCUGCCAGGUACGCUCCGACGCGCCGCAACGUGGUGACGUCAUUCGGGGCGACUGGAAUCGAUAAGGGAAUCGUUUGUAAAAAUGGCAAACAAUUCCAAGGAAUUGAAACAGUGGGAACCGAUUCUCAACAAGAACCGGUUUUCGAUACCCAUCCCUACCCUCGUGUCUCCAUGUUUCCACGCAUGGCACUAAACUUGAAGGAAAGGCGAAAAAUGAUCCCAACAUCAAUGUUAAAGAAAUACUGGAGAAAAUAGGCCCUAAUGACGAUUCACGUUGAGAAUCUGGGUGUUCCAUCAGCACUUCCAACCACACUUCCUACUGGAUUUACGAGUAACAGUGUUUGUUGUUCCUGCCUGCAUCUGUGUAUCACUCAUUUAACAGGAAGUCUUACAUGAAAUAAAGAAGAGAAAAUGUGUUUUAUUGGUGUUUUAGAUUUUAUUAGUAAAUGGAGUGUCAAGCUCCCCAAGCAACACAACUAUAUAAAAAAAUCUAAAGUAGAAAUAAAGCGGUUCUACAAAAUACACCGAUGAGCCUUCACAAGCAAGUUUGAUGCUCCAAUCUAAUGUGUGGUGGUGAAAAUGAUCAGAAAGACCUUCAGGGUCUUACUUAGACAUUUUAUGGCAAUCCACAAAAUGAAACAAGUAAAAUAAUAAGACAAAGAAAAUGAACAAAUAUCCACAAAUGAAGUCCAGGACUGAGGAAAUGUUUCAUAGUUUUAGAAAAUGACAUGGAAAAUUGUCAUAUUCAGUCAAGAUGGUUUAUUCUAUCAGCUGAAUUUCUCCCAGUGUCACAAAAUAGUAAUAGAUAAUGUAUCAUCUUCAGUCAAGCUGUGAUAUAUCUGAUGUAUAAAGCAUUUUCAUAUUGAGGUUCAUAAAAAACAGUAGAAUGAAAAGGGAAAAAAAUCUGUAUAGAAGGGAGUUAAAUAGAAAGUCAACAGAAAGUUUUAGUAGAAUUUCGCCAUAUCCAUCUAAAUCUGGAGUUAGCCCUUGGUUUACUGUACUACAAAUUUGGUUCACUUCUUCCCAGAGUACACUGGUAACUUGUGGUGAAUCUAACCUGGAGUUUAGGUUUCAGACUAGAAAUCAACACAUAGGGUGAUUUAGAUACAAAUUUCAUCAUCACAUCCCUAAAACUAAUUAUCAGCAACAAUAAAAAUGUAUUUUCCUAUUAUUUUCUGAUAUUGCCUUCCAAUGUUAUAUUUUGCCAAUUUGGUUACACUCUAAAAAGUGGUUCAUCAGACCUGUUACCACCACUUGAUUAAAUGCAGGGCUGCAAGAGAAAAUAAGUAAUGCUACUAUUUAGCACUGUAAUUUAGCCGUUCUGAACUUUAGCAUAGGAGUGGAUAAGACUUAUGAAGUUUCAUGUGACAAAACACGAUCACAUAAGCAUGAAUAACACACAAAGCAUGAAUAAUGUUUUGCUAUCUGCUUCUAUCUAAUUUCAGUCACAGUUUUUUUUCUGUGAGAAGGAUAAAAAUAGGCAGAGUGAUUCUUUUUUUGUCUGUCACUCAUUUUAUGUCUUUAUAAAACUUGCAAAAUGCUGUACAUUAUAUUACAUUGUAAAUUAUUUUGGUUACUAUUGUGAUAAAGUUUAAGUAAGUAUUGUUUUUGAUCUCAAGAGCUGUAUCCAUUGUUGUUACCUUUUUAAGACAUCAAGUUGUGUGAAAUAUUAUUAAAAUGAUUCACAUAGUCUAUGCCAGGAUGAUACUGUCGGAAUCUUCUUGAAAUUAAGACUUUAUCUAAGAAUUUGUGCAUAGAUAAACGUCAUUUAUUAUUAAAAAAAAAUACUAAAUGAUUAUUGUGGUGGAUUAUCUGUCUGUAAUAUCAAUUUUAAGCAAGUUUAAAAUAUUAGUAAAGCCUGACAAAUUGUUGAAGUUUCCUUCAACCAUUAUUAGUUUAGCAAUUUUUUUUUAGCAAGUUUUUCUGUUUGUGUGGUUUACAGAUAAAGGAAGAGUUCAGUAACUGUUCAGAAUAACUGUAAGCCUUGAAUCUACCUUUACAGCUAAACUUGACCACUACACCCCAAAACUAAUGGCUUUAGUUCAUCAAGAGGAUGAGCUAAAGGAGUGAGAAUCAGGCAGAUCACUGAGGUAUGAAUAUUAUUUAGACUGGCUAUUUGUUGGUGAUGACCCACAGCACAAUACAGUUGAAAUACACAGGGAAGUAGCCAUCCGCUGCCUUGUUGCAUAGCUUGGAGAGAAGGAAGAAGACUUUUCGUGGAGUUUGGUGUAAGUAAUUCAGCAUUUGAACAAAAAUUAAAUCCACACUGAUCAUAGUGUGGAUUUACACAGUUGUCAUAUUACUCUAAACAUGGCUUGAACAUGAACUGUUGUACCGUUGUAUUAUAUUGAAAUCUCUGAUUAUUCAAUUUGAAUUAUUCUUAGCCACAGUAAUAGGUCAUCCAACUAAUUAGGUUGCUUUUGUAGGUAACUUUGUAAUAUUUGCAAUUCAAAUGCAUUCCAACUGAAUCGAGAUUUGCAAAUGUGAAAAGGGUUGACCACAUUUGCAAGCAGCUUAUUCCGUUAGUAUUUUUUUUACAAGGCACUGCAGGCAUGACAUUGUGAUUGAGUCCCCCUAAUGUUUUGAUCCUAGAAUUGCUCCUGAAUCAACAUGUGAAAUCUGGAAACAUUGAUUCACAUCAAACAGCAGGACCAAAGUGAGGCUCAGUCACAGGAAGUUAAGAAGCUUUUUGAAGAAUACAACAAAAUGAUGUUCCUGUUGUCCAAGCAGUUCACCCAGUGGGAUGAGACCCUGAGAAAGAUGGAAGAGGCCAAAGGAAUCCGACCAGUGGAAUAGUGACUGUCAACAUAUGUUCAGAUGACAAAAGUGGAAAAACGAAAAACACUGCACUGUGGUGGGAGUGUCAGAUAUGUGAGGCAACGGCAUCACCACAUUUCUUUUCUUCUUCUUUUUUGUUUUAAAACAUUUAAUUUAUUUGAAUCAGGUGAUAUAACUUUGAUAGUCUAACCUGAUGUAAGAAAUCCUCAAAAGUGUAAGAAACAGUACAUUAACAAUUCCAGAAAUAGUCACUGCAGGUGGUAAAAUAUUGAAGGCAGGUUUGUCUCCCUGCUAAUGCUUGUGGUGCCCGAACAUAGUAAUACUGUCACUGAUACGAACCCAGUCAUAUAGGAAAAAACUGGGUUUCCUGUAACCGUUUAUUUGUGGAUAAAUUCACUCUUAUCACUCAACUUGUAGUUGUUAUGCUGUUUAUUGUCAGACAAAAGUACUUUACUUGUAAUGCAUUCCUGUCCUCCUUACUGUAGGCAUGUCACAAGACUUAAAUUGCUCUUCCCCCAAUUCAAAAACACACUAGUUACUUCCCUCUGGAUGCUUGUUGACAUGACUUGUAAAACCUUAAAUUAGUUUCAGUAUUUUUUCCAAUAUUUGGUUUGAACAUUUUAAUUAUAUCUGAUUUAUCUUACAGCAAAUAAAUGUUGUUGAUAAAUAAAUAA
ensembl:lncRNA